GAACUCGAAGAGCAACAGGAAACUACGUUCGACUUCUUGCUAACGAUGAAUCGUCGAAGGAUAAAAGUUGACGCGUUUGUUGCGCAGUUUAGGGAUGCGCAGCCAGCUUCUAGUAGCAAGAAGCGAUUUCCAUCUUCAGGUUCAUUCGACAAGCGGAAAUAAGCAGACAAGCGGAUUUGAGAUUGAGAAGAAAAUAAGAUUUAUUUGAUAUUAUACAUCUGCAGACUGUGCGACACUGAGCAUGGCAGAAACGAAACGAGUGCUUCAAGGCUUCCGAGAUGGAUUCCUGAGGAUCCUUGAGAAACUCUUCCGCUUCCUGGACACGUGUGGCCUGCUUCUACAGAAUUUUGCUGUACCUGUACACCUGUGCUCACGUCCUGUAAAGCUGAGAAAUGAUGGAUCGUCUUUACGGUACUUCAAGCUGAGAAAGUACAACGAGCGAAUAAGGAUCUGACGCGUUAAUUCGUUUGGAGUUGUUAGAAAAAUGACGACGAUAGUUUUUCAACCGAAAAGAACUCUGUAACCUCACAAGUGCUAUCUUAAUUAAUCUUUUCGCAACAAUAUCAAAAUGAGAUAUUGUUUUUCGUUUAUCUGCGAGAAUAAUAAAUCUGAAAUUGCAGCCUA